UACGAAGGGUGCAAACGUUGCUCGGAAUUACUGGGCGUAAAGGGUUUGUAGGUGGCCUGCUAAGUCAGACGUGAAAUCCCUCAGCUUAACUGGGGAACUGCGUCUGAUACUGGCGGGCUUGAGGACAGGAGAGGAACGCGGAAUUCCAGGUGUAGCGGUGAAAUGCGUAGAUAUCUGGAGGAACACCGGUGGCGAAGGCGGCGUUCUGGACUGUUUCUGACACUGAAAAACGAAAGCCAGGGGAGCAAACGGG
rnacentral:rRNA from 1 species